rnacentral:lncRNA from 1 species
GGAGUAGACCGUGUAGAGGACGUGGUCGGUGUUCACAAAGCAGUCCAGCAUCUCCUCCUCUGCUUUGGCUUGACGCCAGAAGAAGGGUGGCAACGAAAUAGAGAUGGAGAAGACCCACACCAGCACGAUCAUGAUGGCCGCCCUUUUGGGAGUCCUUUUAGCAGAAUACUCCACCGCAUCGGUGAUGGCCCAGUAGCGGUCCAGGGCGAUGACACAGAGAUGCAUGAUGGAAGCAGUGCAACAGGUGAUAUCCGACGACAGCCAGAAGUCGCAGACCACCUGGCCUAGUGUCCAGCGUCCAGUGACCGUGUACAUGGUGCUGAUGGGCAUCACCAGGAUGGACACGAGCAGGUAAAAUCGUCAUCGAAGACUCCAGCACUGAACAACCCUUUCCUGUGUAGCGAUAACCCAUAGCCAGGCUCCUCUCAAACAGCCUCACUAUCUCUGAAAGUUGCAUUUCAAAGCAAAACUCCUGCAAGUACCAUUUACAAGAAGGAUCUACGCGAGGCACAAAGCAAAUCUCAAGCAAACUGAAACUGACAGUUAAUCAAAAAAGAUGAUUAAGAAAAUAACCGUAAUCAAAGGAAAUAACUUCUCCAUCAACAAUCAGCAUACGCCACGACUGCAAGCUCCUGCUGCCUGCACCUCCUUGCCAUGAUGGACUGUACCUUGAACCCUGUGCUGAAAGAAGCCUGUUCUUUCAUAAGUUGCUUUCAUCAGAGUAUUAUGUCACAGCAACAGAAGAGAAACUAGGACAGCAUAAAUAAAAUUACAUUUCAUAAAUUUGCCAGCACCCAAAUCUAACUCAACCCUCCCAAGUAUACAGAGCCAUGUUCUAUCUUGUCCUUGUCAAAUACCCCUGUCUUUCUCUCAGGUACUUCCAAAGGCUGAUGGCUGACACCUUGGCAACAAAAAUGUAUAACUACAUUGUCUUGGUUCAUUCUUCACUCAGUAGAUUAUUGCUUUGGAUCCUAAAUGCCAAUAUUUUUUCUGUAUAUAUUAAAUGAAAAGGUCUAAGACAGUGAUGACUUCUCUUGUUAGAAAAGUUUACUUUUCUGCCAAAUGUAUACUCUAUUUUCAGUAUUAGAGUAUGCUUUUAUUAUGUCUAUUUUUUUCUCUACUACCGCUUGACUAUAACAGACUAGUUAUGUGAAUUUGUCCUAACGUAGUAAAUUUUAAGGCUAAAACUUUGGGCUGUGGUGAGUUCUCAGAUCAUUGUCAGUUUGUUUCCAAAAGGAAUAUGAGACCCCAGUUCUCUCUUAUUCUUCCUUCUGCUUCUUAAUCACGAGGUAAUGCAGUUUACCAUUUGCCCCAUCUUGGUCCUCUGGCAUCCUUAUCUCUAGUCCAAAUAUAGGUUAACAAAAUCUUAGAAUUUCCAAUCCAAAAGCAUGAGCCAAUAUGCACCUUUCAUAUUCAUUAAUCAAUCAUUUAACAUUUGGGUUGUUAUAGUAACAAGAAGCUAACUAACAAAGUCCCUUCAUGUCCUGAGAGAGGUAUCAUAUAUUUUUUUAAAAUGUUUUUUUGGUGUUAUUUUCAUUAUGUUUGCAUUUUAAGUAUGAGUGUGUAUAGAAAAUUGGCAUUUAGUUGAGUAAGAUUGCUGAGUAUUUUGAGUCAUAAAAAUUGGGUUGUCAUUUGUUUUAUAUUUUUGUGCAUAUGUAUGUUUAUUUUUACUUAUUAUUAAUGUUUUAUUGUUUAAAAACAGAUGAAUUCAUUUUUUGUACACCAUUGUUCUUCAAUGAUUUUACAGAACACAUGUAUAUACACCUACAGUUAGUUCAGGAUGAGAACCCAGUCAGGUUAUAAAUUCUAUCAUCAAUUAUUGCAUCAAUGUAGAAAAUACAAUGUCAAACAAAAGGGUUUAACAUAGGACUGCAUGGAGUAACACCAUGCUACUAAUAUUUCAGAGUCGUUAUAAAAUUAUAAGAGUUGCCUUGUAUAUUAGUUAGGGUUUUACUGCUGUGAACAGAUACUAUGACCAAGGCAAGUCUUAUAAAAAAACAACAUUUAAUUGGGGGUGGCUUACAGGUUCGGAAGAUCAGUCCAUUACCAUCAAGGUGGGAGCAUGGCAGCAUCCAGGCAGGCAUGGUAUAGGAGGAGCUGAGAGUUCUGUCUUCACCCUAAGGCUGCUAGUGGAAGACUGACUUCCAGGCACCUAAGGUGAGAGUAUUAAGCCCAUACCCACAGUGACACACCUACUCCAACCAGGUCACACCUCCGAAUAGUGCCACUCCCUGGUCCAAGAAUAGACAAACCAUCACACCUUGAUAAAAUAUAUAAGAAUAAGUUUUUAAUUGGGUAUUUAUUUCAUUUACAUUUCCAAUGCUAUCCCAAAAGUCCCACACACACUACCCCACCAACUCCCCCCCCCCCACCCACUCCCACUUCUUGGCCCUGGCAUUCCCCUGUACUGAGGCAUAUAAAGUUUGCACGACCAAUGGGCCUCUCUUUCCACUGAUAGCCGACUAGGCCAUCUUCUGAUUCAUAUGCAGCUAGAGACAUGAGCUCCUGCGAGGGGGGGAUUGGUUAGUUCGUAUUGUUGUUCCACCUACAGGAUUACAGGUCCCUUCAGCUCCUUGGGUACUUUCUCUAGCUCCUCCAUUGGGGGCCCUGUGAUCCAUCCAAUAGCUAACUGUGAGCAUCCACUUCUGUGUUUGCCAGGCCCCGGCAUAGUCUCACAAGAGACAGCCAUAUCUGGGUCCUUUCAGCAAAAUCUUGCUAGUAUAUGCAAUGGUGUCAGCGUUUGGAAGCUGAUUAUGGGAUGGAUCCCCGGAUAUGGCAGUCUCUAGAUAGUCCAUCCUUUCGUCUCAGCUCCAAACUUUGUCUCUGUAACUCCUUCCACAGGUGUUUUGUUCCCAAUUCUAAGAAGGGGCAAAGUGUCCACACUUUGGUCUUCAUUCUUCUUGAGUUUCAUGUGUUUAGCAAAUUGUAUCUUAUAUCUUGGGUAUCCUAAGUUUCUGGGCUCAUAUCCACUUAACAGUGAGUACAUAUUGUGCGAGUUCUUUUGUGAUUGGGUUACCUCACUCAGGAUGAUGUCCUCCAGGUCCAUCCAUUUGCCUAGGAAUUUCAGAAAUUCAUUCUUUUUAAUAGCUGAGUAGUACUCCAUUAUGUAAAUGUACCAUAUUUUCUGUAUCCAUUUCUCUGUUGAGGGGCAUCUGGGUUCUUUCCAGCUUCUGGCUAUUAUAAAUAAGGCUGCUAUGAACAUA